GUGGAUUCACUCAACUUGGGUUUGCAAACAAUACAUGAACCAGGGUUGACUGAAUCCUGGG
rnacentral:precursor_RNA from 1 species